UGUCCUACGGGGCGCAGCAGUGGGGGAUAUUGCACAAUGGGGGAAACCCUGAUGCGGCGACGCCGCGUGUGGGAAGACGGUCUUCUGGAUUGUAAACCACUGUCCCCAGGGACGAAAAUGACGGUACCUGGGGAGGAAGCUCCGGCUAACUACGUGCCAGCAGCCGCGGUAAUACGUAGGGAGCAAGCGUUGUCCGGAAUUACUGGGUGUAAAGGGAGCGUAGACGGCAGCGCAAGUCUGGAGUGAAAUGCCGGGGCCCAACCCCGGAACUGCUUUGGAAACUGUGCAGCUCGAGUGCAGGAGAG
rnacentral:rRNA from 1 species